rnacentral:rRNA from 1 species
UACGGAGGGUGCAAGCGUUGCUCGGAAUUAUUGGGCGUAAAGGGUAGGUAGGUGGUCUUAUUUGUCUGGGGUGAAAGCCUUGAGCUUAACUCAAGAAGUGCCCCAGAAACGGUGAGACUGGAGUCCUAGAGAGGGUCGUGGAAUUCCCGGUGUAGCAGUGAAAUGCGUAGAGAUCGGGAGGAACAUCAGUUGCGAAGGCGGCUCUCUGGACCAGCACUGACACUGAGGCACGAAAGCGUGGGGAGCAAACAGG